rnacentral:rRNA from 1 species
UGGAGAGGUUAGUGGAAUUCCGAGUGUAGAGGUGAAAUUUCGUAGAUAUUCGGAAGAACACCAGUGGCGAAGGCGACUAACUGGACAUAUAUUGACGCUGAGGUACGAAAGCGUGGGGAGCAAACAGGAUUUAGAUACCCUGGUAGUCCACGCCGUAAACGAUGAUAACUAGCUGUUCGGGGUCUACGAUCCUGAGUGGCGCAGCUAACGCAUUAAGUUAUCCGCCUGGGGAGUACGGUCGCAAGAUUAAAACUCAAAGGAAUUGACGGGGGCCUGCACAAGCGGUGGAGCAUGUGGUUUAAUUCGAAGCAACGCGCAGAACCUUACCAGCGUUUGACAUCCUAAUCGCGGUUUUCAGAGAUGAUUACCUUCAGUUCGGCUGGAUUAGUGACAGGUGCUGCAUGGCUGUCGUCAGCUCGUGUCGUGAGGUGUUGGGUUAAGUCCCGCAACGAGCGCAACCCUCGUCCUUAGUUGCCAUCAUUCAGUUGGGCACUCUAAGGAAACUGCCGGUGAUAAGCCGGAGGAAGGUGGGGAUGACGUCAAGUCCUCAUGGCCCUUACCCGCUGGGCUACACACGUGCUACAAUGGCGGUGACAGUGGGCAGCAACCGGGCGACCGGUAGCUAAUCUCCAAAAACCGUCUCAGUUCGGAUUGUUCUCUGCAACUCGAGAGCAUGAAGGCGGAAUCGCUAGUAAUCGCGGAUCAGCAUGCCGCGGUGAAUACGUUCCCAGGCCUUGUACACACCGCCCGUCACACCAUGGGAUUUGGAUUCACCCGAAGGCAGUGCGCUAACCGCAAGGAGGCAGCUGACCACGGUGGGUUUAGAGACUGGGGUGAAGUCGUAACA